rnacentral:rRNA from 1 species
GAUGAACGCUGGCGGCGUGCUUAACACAUGCAAGUCGAACGAAGCACUUUAUUUGAUUUCUUCGGAAUGAAGAUUUUGUGACUGAGUGGCGGACGGGUGAGUAACGCGUGGGUAACCUGCCUCAUACAGGGGGAUAACAGUUGGAAACGACUGCUAAUACCGCAUAAGCGCACAGGGUCGCAUGACCUGGUGUGAAAAACUCCGGUGGUAUGAGAUGGACCCGCGUCUGAUUAGCCAGUUGGUGGGGUAACGGCCUACCAAAGCGACGAUCAGUAGCCGACCUGAGAGGGUGACCGGCCACAUUGGGACUGAGACACGGCCCAAACUCCUACGGGAGGCAGCAGUGGGGAAUAUUGCACAAUGGGCGAAAGCCUGAUGCAGCGACGCCGCGUGAGCGAAGAAGUAUUUCGGUAUGUAAAGCUCUAUCAGCAGGGAAGAUAAUGACGG